UACGUAGGAGGCAAGCGUUGUCCGGAAUUACUGGGUGUAAAGCGCGUGUAGGUGGGAGGCCAAGUCUGUGGUGAAAUCGCCCGGCUCAACUGGGCGCAGUCCAUGGAAACUGGUCACCUGGAGGACGGUAGAGGCGAGUGGAAUUCCCGGUGUAGUGGUGAAAUGCGUAGAGAUCCGGAGGAACACCAGUGGCGAAGGCGACACGCUGGGCCGUACCUGACACUGAUGCGCGACAGCAUGGGGAGCAAACAGG
rnacentral:rRNA from 1 species